rnacentral:rRNA from 1 species
AAUGAACGCUGGCGGCAGGCCUAACACAUGCAAGUCGAGCGAGCAUUUCGGUGCUAGCGGCGGACGGGUGAGUAACGCGUGGGAACGUGCCCUUUUCUGCGGAAUAGUCCUGGGAAACUGGGGGUAAUACCGCAUACGCCCUUUUGGGGAAAGAUUUAUCGGAGAAGGAUCGGCCCGCGUUGGAUUAGGUAGUUGGUGGGGUAAUGGCCCCCCAAGCCGACGAUCCAUAGCUGGUUUGAGAGGAUGAUCAGCCACACUGGGACUGAGACACGGCCCAGACUCCUACGGGAGGCAGCAGUGGGGAAUCUUAGACAAUGGGGGCAACCCUGAUCGCGCCAUGCCGCGUGAGUGAUGAAGGCCUUAGGGUUGUAAAGCUCUUUCAGCUGGGAAGAUAAUGACGGUACCAGCAGAAGAAGCCCCGGCUAACUCCGUG